GUACUUGUGCACCACUACUAGUGGACUUGUUUUGUACUCAUAUAAGGUAUAAUUCAUACAAAACAUUCUUAAAGACAAAAAACGAAUCAUCUUGCUAAAGUCUUUAAUAUAACUUUAAAAUAUACUGAUGAUAUGCAGUUACUUAGCCAACACAUAAGUGCUAAUAUAUAAUAUGCCCUAGCAAACUUGAUUUUAAGGAAACUACCGAAAGUAAAAGGUCUGAUAUUUCAAAUACAUAUAGACGUUGAUUUUAUGUUACCACGGCCAAUACGGAAAAUUCCAUGUAAUAAUCUUUAAUAUUUACAGUCAAUAAGGUUUCAUGUCUUGUCCUCUGAAACUCUGCACAAUUCCAUUGAACUUGUCACUUGAAUGUGAAACUUUAAUGUUACUGCAAUAGGUUCGUAUCACUGGUGAUGAAAAAAAAACACCUUAGAGGAUAUCAUCUGACCAGUAGUUUAAAGGUUGGCAUGAUUUAAGAAAUACAAAUUAUGGCACACUAAAAUCAGUAUUAUAGUUUAUAAACUAUAUAUUCAGAAUUGAAUAUUGUAACCCUUUUCAUUAAUUUUGCAACUCCCGCACUCAAAGGUUUUUGCUGCACAGGUCUAAGUUUACCAUAUGAAACCGGUAUCAAA
rnacentral:lncRNA from 1 species